AAUAUACCUUCUAAAGCUAAGUGUUAAAAGAUUUUGCUUCAGUCUGUGUACUACUGCUUUUCAUAACUGCGUUUGAAUGGAAAUGUUAUAUUUGAAUCUCUAAUUUUGAUUUUUAUGUUUUUUAGGAACCAGCCAAAUGAAGUGAGAUUGUCUGAGAAGAUCACGUGUGCUACAUCAAUGACGAUGACGAGCUGGAUACCAGAUUAUGUGCCAAUUUCUUUCCAGAACAGGUCCAAAUAUCUAUGGCAUUGAAGACAACUCUGAAGAAUGAAGAAGCAGAGGAAGAAGCACACUGAGGUCAAUACUACUGAUAAGGAUAUCCAGGGAGACAGAUGCGUGCCAUUCAGCAUAGAAACAUCAGAAACAGAG